rnacentral:rRNA from 1 species
AGAACGUUAUUAGUAGGAAAUGGCUAAUAAGUGACGGUACCUUACCAGAAAGGGACGGCUAACUACGUGCCAGCAGCCGCGGUAAUACGUAGGUCCCGAGCGUUAUCCGGAAUUAUUGGGCGUAAAGGGCACGUAGGCGGACAAAUAAGUUUGAUGUCAAAUAUGAUGGCUCAACCAUCAAGAGGCGUUGAAAACUGUUUAUCUAGAAUCUCGGAGAGGUAAGUGGAAUUCCAUGUGUUAGCGGUGGAAUGCGUAGAUAUAUGGAGGAACACCAAUGGCGAAGGCAGCUUACUGGACGAAGAUUGACGCUGAGGUGCGAAAGCGUGGGUAGCAAACAGGAUUAGAUACCCUGGUAG